GAAAUUAUCUUAAUAUAUACAUCGAAGUAAAUAGAAUGGUGCGUUGUCGUGUUAUUGCAUGUAUAAGCGAUAGUGAGAAGAAAAUUGCCGGUGUGUCUUUUCACGCAUGAUCCAGACCUACGUAAUUAAUGGAUCGAAGUGGUAGAAAAGAUUGGAUUCUCACAAAAUAUUGUAAAAUAUGAACAAGCCAAUGAAAAAGUAAGAAAUGUGUUUCGUCAUCAAUAAUCAAUCUGCUUAUAUUUUUUGUAUCUACUAAAUUGACUAUAAAGACAAAAGAAAAAUCUCAUAA